AAUCACAAGUGGCAACCUGGGAUUCGAUCGAAGCAGAAUCAUUUUUGAGUUUUGACAGACAAAGAAAAACGUGGGUCGUAUGAUUAAAAUCUAUAGGCAAAGAAUCUCGUUUCGAAUUGACUGAAUCUGCUUAACAAAUUCUGUGCUGUAAAAUUUCAGUUUUUAGACCAUAAACUGGACGGCACUGUGCGAAACACCAAACACUCCAGGAAGAAAUCCCCUGUACAGACCUCGAAUCCCUUCGUAACGAAAAAGUAGGAGCCCCAAGUGCAUCCGGCCGUCAGGAUGCCCAGUGUUACGCCUCUGUACAAACCGUGAACGCCAUCGGUUCUCGUGAUGCUCGUCAGGACGUCGACGAGGCCGCCGUAAUGAGGACGCUGAACACCAGCACAGAUCAAACGACUGCCACUUACUUUUCGGAGAGAAAAAUACAGAACAUGGGGAUGCAGGAUGGUAGUGGAAACUACUCCGCCUGCAAUUCCGGCUACGAGGUGUUCGUAUUUGAUCUGCUGAUAGCGACGGAAUAAGGCCGUCAUGGGACAACAAACACAAGAUGAGGUUGCUAUAGAUGCACGCACUCUACCUUUCCAGAUUCACGUUCGGUAUGCCAACAGUAUUGCGCAACAGCUUGUUCAAUCUAGCUAGAAAGAAGGUUGAAUGCUAUUAUUAAAC